UACAGAGGUCCCGAGCGUUGUUCGGAUUCAUUGGGCGUAAAGGGUGCGUAGGCGGCUUCCUAAGUUUGAUGUGAAAUCCUGGGGCUCAACCCUGGAACUGCAUCGAAUACUGGGAGGCUAGAGUACUGGAGAGGAAACUGGAAUUUACGGUGUAGCAGUGAAAUGCGUAGAGAUCGUAAGGAAGACCAGUGGCGAAGGCGAGUUUCUGGACAGUUACUGACGCUGAGGCACGAAGGCCAGGGGAGCAAACGGG
rnacentral:rRNA from 1 species